CAGCCGCCGCGGUAAUACCGGCAGCUCAAGUGAUGGCCGCUAUUAUUGGGCCUAAAGCGUCCGUAGCCGGCUACACAGGUCCGUCGGGAAAUCCACCCGCUCAACGGGUGGGCGUCCGGCGGAAACCAGGUAGCUUGGGGCCGGAAGACCAGAGGGGUACGUCCGGGGUAGGAGUGAAAUCCCGUAAUCCUGGACGGACCACCGGUUGCGAAAGCGCCUCUGGAGGACGGACCCGACGGUGAGGGACGAAAGCUUGGGUCUCGAACCGGAUUAGAUACCCGGGUAGUCCAAGCUGUAAACGAUGCUCGCUAGGUGUGGCGCAGGCUACGAGCUUGCGCUGUGCCGUAGGGAAGCCGAGAAGCGAGCCGCCUGGGAAGUACGUCCGCAAGGGUGAAACUUAAAGGAAUUGGCGGGGGAGCAC
rnacentral:rRNA from 1 species